rnacentral:rRNA from 1 species
UACGUAGGGGGGCGAGCGUUGUCCGGAUUUAUUGGGCGUAAAGAGCGUGUAGGCGGCCAGGUAGGUCUGCUGUGAAAACUCGAGGCUCAACCUCGAGACGUCGGCGGAAACCAUCUGGCUAGAGUCCGGAAGAGGAGAGUGGAAUUCCUGGUGUAGCGGUGAAAUGCGCAGAUAUCAGGAGGAACACCAGUGGCGAAGGCGGUUACCUGGAGCUUUGCUGACGCUGAUGCGCGAAAAGCGUGGGGAGCGAUCCGG